ensembl:lncRNA
UGCGAAGCACCAUGUCUCUGGAACCGUACAGAGAAGUGAUUUUGGACAUGAUUUUAAAACACCACACACACAAGGACGUUGCUGAGCAUCUGUCUCAAAUUGGUGUUGGGCGAGGUUGUUCGGCGAGGACUGUUAGAAGAUUUUGUGCCAGUCAUGGUGUGAGACGGGAGGUUUCCGACACUCAGCUGGAGAUAGCUGUAUCGGCAGCAGUACAAGAAGCAGGACCAACCUACGGUCGUAAAUUGAUGACCGGUUAUUUGACAUCAAAGGGAAUUCGAGCAGCAGAAAGUAGGGUUGGACGAGCCCUCCGGACAAUAAAUCGACCAUAUCAUGAAAUGCGAUGCAGUGCCUGCAGUAAUCAACAAUGGAAUGUGGGACCAGAUAAGGGUGGACCAUGGAAAAGAGUUUUUCUUGACUCUAUUUAUGCAAGAAAUUCUUGCUGACCACAGAAUGAAUACAGCAACACCACCAUAUCGUCAGACCACAUCAACAAAGAAUCACACAAUUGAGAGAAUUUGGCCUGAAAUAAACAACAGGGUUAAUUACCCUUUGAAGGAGGCUCUUGUUCAGCUGGUCGACCAAGAACUGAUUGAUAUGGACUGCAACCUAACAAGAUACUGUGUGUCUAACCUUGUCUGUCAGCUGUGUCAUCUGGGCAUUAGCAGGGUAGUAGAGGCAUGGAACAACCACAGGAUUCCUGGAAAAGGAAUCCCCAACCAGAUUGCACAGGGUGGUUGUGCAAAAAAAAUCUCAG